CUUCUCAUCCACGAUGACGGGCAACUGAAUUGUAGGAAAUAAGACUUCACCACGGUUCUUGACCGCAUCGCAUCCGGUAAAAAGAUGAAAAAAAAGGGGAACGGUGUCAUAAAACUACCCUUCAUAGUGUUUUCGCAUGAAAUAAUUUUUACAGCAAAGUCCUUACUGCACUACAACUAUUUACCUUCUGACUUUCAAAAGAAGUGAAUAAAUGUUAUAUAAAGUUAGCAAUGUUUAAACCUAGUAUGGAGCCUGAAUUCGCACCCUACGGAAAUACCUACAGGUAUUACAUACAUUUUUUUAUUAAUUCUAUUUUCUGAAAAUCUAAUUAAAUUCAGCUUUUUGUU